rnacentral:rRNA from 1 species
UACAGAGGUCCCAAGCGUUGUUCGGAUUUACUGGGCGUAAAGCGCGCGUAGGUGGUUCAGUAAGUUGGAAGUGAAAUCCCCGGGCUCAACCUGGGAACUGCUUUCAAAACUGCUGAGCUAGAGUACGGUAGAGGGUGGUGGAAUUUCCUGUGUAGCGGUGAAAUGCGUAGAUAUAGGAAGGAACACCAGUGGCGAAGGCGACCACCUGGACUGAUACUGACACUGAGGUGCGAAAGCGUGGGGAGCAAACAGG